UACACACAUUUUCAAACCCUAACGCUAACCUUCACCUUUUUCCCCAGCCUCCCCCCUACACACACACUCAGCCCUUCACCAUACACACACGGAAAAAAAAAGGAAAGAAAAGAGAGAGGGGGGAGGUUGAGGGGGGAAGAAGGAGAAGGAAGGAGAGGGGAAAAGGGGAGACAGUGCCAGUGGAUGUCACUGCCACCGUUGCCGCUGUUGUUUUGCCAUCGGGAGAGUCAUAAUGCGAGGAGAGAGAGAGACAAACUCGCAAGGGAGAGAGGAAGUAAAGCUGCCGCCACUAUUGAAGCUGCGCAAAGCCGUUGUCGCCAUCGUCACCAUCGAUACUUUUCCUCGUCGUUUGUGGGUGUCACUUUUCUGCUUCAACUGUCACGCCGUCGUUUGCCCCUCUUGAUGUCGCUCCUUUUAAAUUACGCCCUAUCACUAAUUCUUUGCCUCCUCGUUGUGGCCCAACCUCUAAUUAGUCAUGACAAAUCAGAUUGAGCAGAUGGUGCUGACUAUAGAAAAUCAUAAGAAGAACUUAUAUUAGUAUUGUACUGUUAUAUUGACAAAUGAGGCUCGAGUGAAGGAAUAUGACCUCAAGCAAAUAUGGAAGAGUCCAAAUAGGACAAUUAAGAACAUUUUGAAUGGAACUAUCUUUAGAAAACCCAUUGGAAGACACGCAUUUUGUAAAUUGUAAUGAUCUAAGUAUUAUCAGGCUGAAAAAAGCCAAUAUGCAUUGGAAGACACACAUUUCGUGAUCAAUAUAGGGCCACUGACAGUUAUUAAAGAAGCUGGGAAAUUAAAGCUGGUGUUCGAUAUUACUUCUUACUUUGUUUUAGACAACUUUGCCGUUGAUUUGACCAUCAAUUUUAACAGUAUUUCUUGUAGUGAUGUAAAAUUACUUAUGAUUUUAAUAUAUAUAUAUAUAUAUAUAUAUAUAUAUAUAUAUAUAUAUUGAUAUAUUAUUAGUCUAGUUUAAUUGUAUAUGGAUCUAUUUAUUACAUUUUUGUUAUGUCGUGGUUGAGAAAUAACAAAUGUCCUAUUACUUGAUUUGAUAAAUUUGGUUGUG